ACGCAGGGGAAGGGCGGCGGAACCCACAGCUCGAGCUCAGGUGAUUCUGACGCAGGCGCUCCACGGAAACCCUCCGAGAAUUCUGGGGGCCGUGGGGCCGCCCAGCUCAGUCCGGAGCUCCGGAACUCGGGGAAGAGCGUCCGGGAGCCGGGUCUGGGUUCCGCACUCCGUCCGCCCCGAUGGCAGAGAGUGAGAUACGGACGCCCCGGGACGAGGGGCUCAGGACCCGGCUACGGACACCUGCCUCCAUCUCCCUCCAGGUAUUUCACCCCAAUAAUAAAAUAAUAAUGCCAGAAGCUGAAGAGUAAUCAGGACCUCAGGAUUACUCAUAGAUAACACAAGUGUGAAGAGAGGGGAGAGCAGCAAAGGCUGAGCUGCGUGUGCCUGGUCCCUUCCAGACUUUCCAGAUAACUUUGCCCCACGGAGGACAAGGAAAGCCAAAAGAGAGAAGCCAGGAUUGUUAGUCUUGGAAAAUGCCUCCAUAUAGAAACAUGAGCCGGAGAAUAAAUCACUUGCCUCUCUAACCAGUUGGAUUUGGUCCGUGAGUUCCUAGUUUUGUUCACCUGACUUAGUCCCUGACUUUUAAAGUCAAGUGCAUCAACAUGCUGCCAGUACUUUGAUGAACAUCUAUACAGGAUCCAUCUCUACAGCAGUGAAUUCCACCUGGGGUAAAGUAUGCAUGUAGGUUAGGAUGCUACAGUGGGACUCUGUCUGCUUUUUCUGUCUGUUUCUGCUAAGGCCUCCACACAUUAGAUGGUCAGUACUCUUUGUUCUAUGGGAAGGGCUAGAAUACCUAAACAGGACUUUCACGGAGGGAGCAACAAACCAGUUUUGUGGCUCUCAGCAAACAUCCAUCUCAAAGGUGAGUUUGGAAAUAAUGGAGAGUAUGUCAGUGUGUUUGUGUCUCAGGCCUACUUCCCACGCCUAUGGGGGAAGGGUGGGACUUAUCUCUCUCUUCCCUCAAGCCUGCUAAGAGGAGAUUAGACUAUAUUUGAGAUAAAUACCUCCAGCACAGUGACAGCCAUGCAGCUCAUGCCUGUGAAAUCAAAAGGCAAGAGGAUGCGGCUGGCUGGCUGCUCUGAGGGCAGAGAGAAAAGACCAGACAGCUCUUGGAACAGACUGUUCUUCCAGUGACGAUGGGGACAAAGAUGCAUGAGUGUAUCUCCAGGACUGGAUGUGAGCUGCAUGGGAGAAAAAGAGUGCAGGCCUGCAGCCCGGGAAAACCCAAAAGGAUGCCAUAAACCCAACAGGAAGAUGGGUUGUCAGGGCCCCAGGAGCUGAGAAAGGAAUAAAAAUGACAGAGAGAGAAAAGUACAUUGUCCACAUCAUAAAUAACACAGCUGAAUGUGCCCAAUGAGGUCCUCAGAGAACCCACAGAAGUGCCCAUGGGAACAGUUCUCUCUGGGACUCAAACCCAGGGAGAGGUGCUUUUAAACAUGCAAAGAGAGGGAACCAUCAUCAUAUUACAUUGCAGUGUCCACAUGAAUAAGACCCUAACUUACCUCAUAUUUCUCCUCCUUCCUCUGCUUUAAUCCAGGAGGAGCCAGAGACCUCUCAGUAAGUGAAGAAGAGGGGAAAUAGGUAAAAAGCCACUAUUCCCCAUGUUAGAUGAGGAAAUAGGAACAUUCUCCUCCUCUACCCAACACCCACUGUAGCUUUUAGUGGCUGGAGUCAGGAGAGAAAAGUUUUCAUGUUAAAUGAAUUUCAGAGGUUUGACUAUGACAUAGAAAUGGAUAUUUUAAUUACUGAAAUAAAACUGUUUUGUAAUUAGAGGUGACUGGAAGACAUUUUAUCCUCAGCAGAAGAAUAGAUAAGGAUAGGACCUUCCCUCCCCCUUGGACCCCACCAAGGUUUUAUCCAGAGGCAGAGGAAGAAGUAACCCUUUAUGUGAGUUUGAAUGGGCAGAAGAAGAAAAGGAUGAAGUUGUCUUCUAAUUGCACUCUAUGAAUGUUGCUUUUUUGUUAACAUAAAUGUCACAUAUAUUUUUAGCUGGUGUAACAAAAAAAAAAACAUCUCAAGCCGGCUUGCAUAAUAACAGCUUUGGGCACAGUCUGAUCAAGGCCCCGGUUCUGUUUGCUAGUGAUCCUCCUGAUUCUGCCCUCUCUCCAUGCUAGUUUCUUCCUCAGAUUGACAUUCCUCUUGGUCACCAGAUGCCUACAAUCAGCGGGUGCAACUCUCUGCUCCCUGCUCACUUCUGAAGGGGAGAGCAUGGAUACCAACCACAGAACAAAGCCCUGCAGUCUCCCGCUGAGUAGAACACCCACGAAGAAGUGUUGGCCAUUUCCCUAUUGCCAGGGAAAUAUCAUGUAUUGGUUGGAUUAGGCCUGUAUUAAUCCAGUUAAUGGAACAUAGUUAAACUAUCCCAGACCCUCCAUAGACACUAGAGAAAAGGUGAAUCCAACCCAAAUGUAAGACUGCUACUCAAUAGGACAGAAAAGGCAUGGAUGUCAGUGAAAUGGGAAAAAAAAUGUGUGCCAAAGGAGAUCAGGAAGGACUGAAUAGAAGACAUGGCCUUUGAAUUGAAGCCUUUAAUGAGGAAAGGGGAUUGACAUUGUAUGAGGGCCAGGGUGGAGAGCGGGUUGUGAAGAGGAUAGGGAAAAUGCAAGGACACUGCGGAUAUAAGAAUUAAUGGGAGAAUCAUGGGCCACAAAGCAGCAGGAUUAUAUUACAGAGAUUGUAAGUAGUGUUUAUUGAAGCACAGGGUACUGGGGAGGUGGAGGAAAGAUGAAACUGUUAAGGAAUUUAGACACAGCAUGUAGUGGUUGGCAGGAAACAGAUGACACUCUCAAACAGGGUAGUUGAGGAGAGCUAAUAAAGGGACCAUUUACCAAGGUGUAGUUAGGAUUAAGAGAAAGCAAACUGGGAUGGUGCUGUGCUAUGGGCUAGCAACAGCAGGAAGUCAUUUCUGUCCCUAGGUCUGAAGAGGGAAGCAGGGGAGCCAACACCAAGGAACCAGAGAUCUUAGAGUCUGAAAGUCUGCAUGAUAGAAGCCAUGGCCUUUAGUAGAGGGAUCUUGCCUACUCUUAGCAGCCUGGCUUGGAGGGGCCUGGGGAAAUAAUACCCCAACCUCUCUCCUCUUCUUCAAUAUUGAUGACUUCCAUUGGUUAAUAUCAAACUGGAAGUUGGAGAGAAAGGGAGUCUAUCUAUACAAGUCAGCACCCUGUAGCCCAGAAGAGAGUAAAAAGGGGGUAAAAAGCAAUUUCCGAGGGACAAACAGAAAACACCCAGCACAGAAGGAGGAACAAACAUUUGGAGGAACAAACAGAAAAUAUCAGAAAACAUUUUAAUCCUGGGUCCUGGGACGUCAUGGAAGGUUUUGAAGUUAGGAGCACCGCCAUCCUCUAGGGGGAGCUCAAGCAUUUCUCUCCACUCAUCCCAAAGGCGGUGCAUCAAAAGAUCAGGGUGAAACUGACUUCAAGGAAAGAGCCCUCGGCUAGAGGAAGAAGCCUGGAGAAGUAAAGGGAUUGCUCCUGGAAUUGGAAAUCUACCCUUUGCACUUCUAUUUACUGCAUUUGGAUUGAUUUGCAAGAAUAACCAUUAAAAUAAUCAAAGCUAAAACAAACCUUUCAUUGGAGAACAGUCUUCCCCCACACCAUCCCAUAGAAAUACUGUUCACUAUAUCUGGUUCAGGAGGACUGACUCUCCCAACUCCUUUCUCCAGGAGUGGAUACAUGAUCCAGGACUGGCCAGAAUUCUACAUCAAGCAGCCCGUAGGCACGGAGGAGAAUACAAAUUAGAGGAUCAGCCAGCAAACUUGAUGGGUGAUGAGAACUGUUCAAGACAACCCUGAAGAUGUUGCUUAUUUGAUAAGGUUGCUGGUGCUGCUGCUACUGAAGAUAGAACAACAGUUAAGCUUUCUGUGUAUGUGUGUGUUUUCCAUCUGUUUUUCUUUGUAAUCAGUCGGUAUAAAAGUGAGCAGUGAAGAAUCGGGGGGAAAUAAAUGUACUUUUUAAACAUGUUAAAUUUGGAAAAUAUCUAGAGCUCAGAAGAAAAGUGUAAACUUAAGUUAGAGAUUUGAGAGUUAGUGAAGCUCUAAGAGGGGCAGAGUGUAAAGGUGAGGGCAACAAGUAUAUGUGCACACACAAUCACACACAUACACCGGUGGCAGGCAAAGAAAGAUUAAAUCCCUUCUUAGCAAAACUUCAAUUCUGAGAAGAUUUUUCCUAUCUGAAUUUGUUGAACAAUAUUAGAGAUUUUUUUUUUCUAACCACUUCAUAAAUAAUAAAACUGAGCAACAGAGAGGAUGGGUGGCUGACUUGUUAAGGAACUCCUAAUUAGUGCUAAAGAGUCUUAAAACCUAGGUUUCUGGGCUCCCAAUUCCAGGUUCCUUGGAAGUCAAGAGAAGACAAAAACAUACGAUCAUUUACUUUAUCCCUAACUUCACUUGAAUAAAACAUUCCAUAAGAUUAAGGUUAAUGCUUCCUUUGUCUGACACAUCUAUUUAAGCCAUAUGUCUGGUUAGUUUCAGCACGUUACUAGGCCAGUUCAGCAAUGCUCGAAAGCAAUUCAAUUUUCAAAGAACAGUUCUCGAGAUACAUACAAUAAAGCUCAGAUUAACCAGGAAUCAUCGAACCAGAGUUGUUUUACUUUCUACUUAUAAAGAACAUAAGAAAGCACUCUUGAUCUAAGGCAUGACACUGAGCUGGCUCACACCUGCUCUGAUCUUUAUUACUUUCUGUAUGUAAAAUUCUCACAGUACAGUAACUGUGAGGAAAAUAAUAAUUUUGUGCACAAUACUUUAGGUAGGAAGGAAACUAUAUUAAUAAUAAUUCAAUUUAAGUAGAAAUAUAAGUAAACUUAAUUACAGGCUUUUGAAAAUCCAAGCCUAUUUAUUUUAUCCAGUUUUAAAAUUCAAUUCCUAUUUAUUAACUAUUUAAACCUACUCUGUGGAGCAUACUUAUACCCCUCGAAAUUAUCAGAAUUAAGAAAAAUUCAGUAAUUCCUGUGUCAAAAAUAUUCUGUAAAAGUAAACUGUUCAACAGAGAAAAAAAAAAACAAAAAUACUGCAUGAAGCACAUAUGGUAAACAAAAAAACUGAAGUGAUUAUCAUAAUCAUGAAUUUUAAGAAACUGAAAAUGAUUAUCAAGGUAAACAAUAUAUGAAAUAUAACAAAUCCAAACAAGAUCAUGUACCUACAAAACCAAUUUUUCUAAAUACCAUCCUAACUUUUAAUAGCAGAAAAUAACAUUGUUUACUGCCUAAAACAUUGUACAGAAGAGAGAGCUCUAAAAUACUAAUCACAAGCCAAUAAAUCUUACCUUCUACAACAAAUUGCCCACUUCUGAAAUUUGUUUUCAUUACUACUUUUCUAUGUGCACUAACUUAAAGAAUUGCAAUGGUACAGUAAAAGAUACUUUGCAACUAGAAACAAAAUUCUAGAUUGUUUUCCAAAGUUGGGUACUUGCAUAUUAAAUUUUCUCAAAAGGAGACCCACCUGUGUAAUGUUCUUAUCUAUCUGGAACAGGGGUUGGUAAACUUUUUCUGUGAAGUGCCAGACAGUAAAAUAUUUUAGGUUUUGUGAAUUAUACAGUCUGUCAUAAUUAUACAACUCUGCCCUUACAGUGAAAAAUCUGCCACAGGUAUUACUUAAAUGAAUGGGCAACGCUGCAUUCCAGUAACAACUUAUUUCCAAAAAUAGACAACAGGCUAGAUUUGGCCCAUAAGCUGUAGUUUGCUGAUCCUUCACCUAGAAAACCAAAUUUUCUCUCAAUUUCUCAUUUCCAGGAAUGUGUAUUUAUUUAUUCAGGAAAAAAAAAUCUACUAAUGGUAAAAACUGGUGUUAGAAUGAUAUACUUUAUAAAUAGAAAAAAACUACAGAAUGUUUUCUCUAGAGACCUGUAAGAGUGAAGAUCUGACUAAUAAAUGAAGGGAAAAAGGUCUCUUCAGAGAUGUUUGAGUCUAGCAUUUGACAAAGUCUAAAUGGAUUAUUUCUUCUAUUUUAGCUAAGCAAGGUCACCCAAUAAGGGUUAAAUAAUUUUGACACCCAUAGGUAGUUCUAAAACUAUUCCAUAUUAGGGCAGAAACACAGUGAUAAAAUGAAAUCUUUCAUUAAAUAUAUUAACAUAGUUCUAUAUUUUGGCUGAUGUUCUGUACCACCUAAGACAAUGCUCCACCAACAAGGUUGAAAGACAUUUAUGGUAACAGCAACAUAAUUACUGCAACUCUUGGUGUAUAAUGACAACUGUAUUAACGAGAUAUGAUUUACUCCCUGGAUAACUCCAAGAACAUAGGACACAGAAUAAAGAAGUAAACAUCUCAAACCUUGAUAAAGCAACAACUACAAACUUUCCUUUGCCACUCUCUUAAGUGCACCUUUACUUCCCUGAAGUAUCUGCUCCCCUAGCCACAUGGGCCCAGAAACUCAGAGGUUUCAUAUGUAACUGUGCAUCAGAAAAAAGAGCCUGGGAUGGAAAAAAAGAUGCCUGGGUGCAGAGGUGUGUGCAUAUAUGUGUCUGCCUGCCUGUCUUAAAAGUUUAUGAUUGCUUUGAUAUUUAAUAUAAAGCUUGGAACACAAUCAGACUGAGAAAUAUAAUAAGUAUAGUACACCUAAAGCCAUCUGAUAUCCCUCUAAAUGAAAAAAACAAUUAUUUAAAUAUUGGUAAAUAAAAACGAAUAGGAUACACAUUACCCAUGAGAUAAACUUGUCGAAAAAGUUUAAUAUGAAGCUAAUCAGUAGCAAUCAAUCAGACAAAUCUGGAAUGUAGAACCCUUCAUAAGACAAUUCACCUGGAUUUUUCAUAAGUCAAUGUCAUAAAAAAUAAAGGCAGGGAAUGAAUACAGGUUGGAGACUAGACUCAUAACACACAUACUGUCAAUAAUUAUUUCUUGGAUUAAAAAAGCUAUAAAGGAAAUUUUGGGGGCAACCAGAGAAAUCUGAAUACUAACUGUCUGUUAGAUAAUAUGGUAUCAAUGUUAAAUUUCUUGGAUAAUAAAGUAUGAUUAUAUACGGGAAUUCUUAGGUACAUGCUGAAGUAUUUAGGGAUAAAACACUGGUAUCUGCCAUUUUCAAACGGCUCAGAAAAAAGUUUUAUUAAUAUACAGAUAAAGUAGUGUCAUAAAAUAUUAAGUGGUAAAUCCAGGUGAAAGAUUUUCAUGUAUUAAUUUUUCAACUUGUCUGUAGGUUUGAAUUUUUCAAAUUUAAAAUUUUGAGGGAAGGGGGUUUAUCAGGAUAAAGUCUUAGUUUGGCUCCUUCUUGUGGGGUAUAAACAGAUACUUACUUUCCAUUUCAGCUUCCCUUAGUUUAUUACUCUUUCAGUACCAGACUAUUAUCAAUCCCUUAGUUUAUUCCUCUUUUAGUACCAGAUUAUAAUCACUGAGGCCUCAUUUGGUGAAUUCUAUCAAGGGUCAUCUUGGGAGUCACCUCCUUCAGGCAAUUUUUCUUGACUUUCCAGGGUAGGCUAAGGACCCUGUUAAGACAGUUUGUGUUUUACUACCAUGUAGAAAUUUCCAACUACUUUUUUUUGUCCUUUACUAGGCUGCAGGUUCUGGAGGUUCCAGCAUAGUUCUGACACAUGGUAGGCCUUCCAUAAAGGCUUGUGGAACAUUUACCAUCUAGGGCUAGGUGGUAAGGAGCACCAGAGAGAGAGGCAUAGUUUGAAAUCCACAGAUACAGGGAGGAAGAGGCAUUUUUAUUGUAUCAGGCCUAAGGCUAGGCAAUUUAUGGUUACCAUUUUAUUCAGGUAGGUAAUUUUUAAAAAGAAGAGUUCUAGCUGUCCCUCUAUGUAAAUUUAAUAUCUUAAUGUUAGCGAGUCACUUGGAACACUUUGCUUUACAUCAUGCGGCCUCUGCUUAUUAGUCGUAGAGAAGUUAUUUAAACUCUAAGGCAGUUUUCACACCUGUAAAACAGGGACAGUUCUUACUGUGCCUGUUUCACCACAUUUUAAAAAAUAUCAAAUGAAAAUAUACUUAAGUAAAUACGGAAAAAACAGGCAUUAAGUGGAAAGUCUGCACUGUUUUCUCCCUUAAUUCAUCCUCUCUGCAGCUUCUCAAGGUUCCUCUAGUCCUUCGCUGGCUGGAGACCAAAUGGAAAAGAUAGGUCUCUGUCUACUUCAAGGCUAACCUUAGGUAGCUCUGUAAAUUUUGGGGUUUACAUCUUUAAUGCCUCCAAUAUAUUGAGAAUGCGCCAUGAAUUCUCAGUAAGAUUUAUAGCUUAUAAGGCUUUUAGAAAGUUUGCUAUUUACUAAAAACCUGAAAGAAAAUGUUAUUUUAGUCAAUUAUUGAAAAUUACAACAUUUAUUGGUUCAACGAUUAAUCAAUAGUAUACUUUUCCUACUUCUACUGAAACUUAACAGAACAUUUCUUAUCUAUGAUGCAAUUUUUAACUAAAUUGUCUAUACAAAUGGAAAAAAAAAACACCCCAAACCAUAAAUACCACAGAAACUUUUUAAAUUUACACAGUGAUUUCCCCUGAAACCACUGCACAACCAAGCAAAAAAAAAAAAAAAAAAAAAAAAUCAAAGCAAGGCAAAGUUCAGGUUAAGAAGGCAAGCAACUGGCUAUACAUACUGAAAACUUGUCUUCAGGCUACUAACUUACUUUCCAAAUUGGACAAAAGUCAAAAUGCUAAAUUUAUUCUUAGCUUUGAAAAUGCAAUUUCCUGGUUCUGUUAGAUGAGUUUCAAAUCACAUGCUUUUAGGAAACAUGCAAUAUAAACAUGUUUAAAGGCAUAUACUCAAAAAUUUAUAGUAGUUUCACAAGUUCUAAGCUACAAUUUUAUUCCCCAUAUUAACUAUCAGAGUUAGCACAGAGACAAGCUCACAGAUUGCAUCUAAUCUUUGGUUGCAAUUGUUCCACCUGUUAUCUAGCCCUCUAAGAAAUAAAACAACAACGACAACACUUUGAGGUCUCAAUCCACUUUACGAAAAGAAAGCUUUAUGAAAAAGCCUGAACAAUGAAUUCAAACAUUAAGGAGAAAAUGAGAAACGUUAGGUGUGUGAAGUAGGAAAUGUUAAUUUCAUGCACUUAGGAACACACACUCACACCCCACAGUAGUAGAAGCAGUAGAAGAGGAAAACACUACAUGUGUAGGGGUAGAAAUAUUUGUUACAUCAUGAUGCUGGCUGGCGAUGGAGGGUUGCCGCCUUAGAGCCCCCUGAAUGGAACUUCCACUCUGGAAAGCAUUCACUACAUCCAUCUGCAAGGAAUCAGAGAUUGUGACAGCUUGCUCAGCAAGAGAGAGAGAGAACAAGAGAAAGGACCAUUCCAUCUAUCAACAUAUAAAAAGAAAAAGGCACUUUUUACACAGCAUAUAGGCAAGAAUAGCAUUUUGAGAUGAAGUGGGGGAUGGGGGAGCUAGGAAAAAAGGAGCUUAGGGGCAUAUAGACACAUUCUUUCAUAAUCAGUUAAAAGUCUCACUCAUUCCAGGCACCAGUAUUACUUUUCAAGAGAAUACAAUUUGUGGGUUGGGAAGGCUAGAGAGGAAGUUUAAGGAGCACACUCGAACCUCCUCCCCAGGUCAAAAAGCCCUGGCUCCCAUCAUCUCUCCUACCUCUCUACCAGGCCCAUACCUGUGUUUGGAUUCUGUUCAGACCUCUAAACCACAAGAUUUGGCCACGCCGCAACUCCCUUUCAGCGUGAUCAAUCUCUUCAACAUCCUCUGCUAAUUCCUCCUCAGGUAUUUCUUCCUUUUGUGUUCCAUGACCAGCUUCUUUGAGGAAUUUUAAACGGCUAGUUGGAAUUGUUGAAAUAAGCUACAACACAGGGGAAUGAACUUAGAAAUAAAUCAUAUCAAGUAAAGGUAAGCUGAUCAACUGUAAUACUAAAGGUAUUAAAAGUGGUGAGAGUAUCCGACUAUCUUUACCAAUGAAGUAAUGGGAUCCUGUUGAUUAGUCUUUCUCUCCCAGAGCAAAAUACAUUCUUCUCUUAGCUACACAAAAGAUUUGAGUUUGAAGGAUAAAAAGUUUUCCUAAAUGGAAAUUAACCUGAUUACAUUUUUCAUAUUUUCAUCAGGACAUUCAAGACAGUACAUUGUAAAACCAUGCUCUGAUAUAUGUAUUUACUUAAAAAGUCCUAUUUAUUUUGAAUACAAUGAAAAUGGCAGGUGGUCUUACUAGAUGCAAAACACGUUUACAUUUCAUUAAUGCUGUCAGAGUUCAAUGAGAAAAAAUGUAUAAAAUUUUUAAAAAAAUCAUUAAGGUUACACUGAAAAUAGUUUUGUUACAUAUUUUUUUUAAAAUGCAACAGUUUAAAAUUGGAUUAGUACUGAUUGAUGACGCCAAACAAAAACAGAUGCCCUAGAAAACACAAAGGAUACAAGAAACACCAAUACACGUAUAUUAGCUUAUGUGUUAACAUCCAUUCUCUAAGGCAGCAGUUGGGUUUAUCAGGGAGAAACAAGCAUGUAGUCAGCUACAGAAUUCUGCUUGGAGAACUUCUAGUACACCCACCUCAUUUCACCAAGGUGAAAUAGGCUUCAAGGCACAUAAAGUGACUUGCUCAUGGAGUGACUAGGAACCUAGGUCUCCUGACCACCAAAGGCAGUGCUUGUUCUACCAUGGUACACUUAGUAUGGGUCUUACUUAAAAGAUGAUCUCUAUUAAUGAGGUACUCAAAAUAGAUAAGAAACCUCAGAAUCUAGAAACAUAGUUAAGAAAAAGAAGAGACACAAAGAUGUAAAGAUUGGGCUACAUUUAAGGAAAACCUGAAAGUCUGGUUUCACUGAUUUGCAGAAUGACAAUAAAUUAGCUCAUGCAAAUUAUAUGCCAUAAUAUAUAUUAACCUUCAUCUAUGAAAAUGUUAGAUUUUCUAUAAAUUAGUUUUAUAGUAAUGGGCUUAAAAUGAACAAUGCAUAAAUCACUGUCACAUUUAAAAAAUAAUGACAUGCAUUUGCAAGUAAGCUGCCUAUAGUAAAUAUGAGGUAUAUCUCUUAUUUCAGGCACUUUAUUUCAUAUAUACACUGUUAAAGCUAUUCAAUUCAAAUCUAAAACAUCAUUUUGUGACCCCUUUUUCCAGGUAACAUUAUUUUUAUAAAAACAUUCUCUAAGGUCAGUUUUUCCUAUGCUGCAUAUUGGAUUAAAUUACAGAACAAAAUGACAAUGUAUUUUUUUUUUUUUUUUUGAGAUGAAGUCUCGCUCUUCUCUCCCUGGCUAGAGUGCAAUGGCGCGAUCUUGGCUCACUGCAACCUCUGCCUCCUGGGUUCAAGCGAUUCUCCUGCCUCAGCCUCCCAAGUAGCUGGGAUUACAGGCGCCUGCCACCAUGCCCAGCUAAUUUUUAUACUUUUAGUAGAGACGGGGUUUCACCAUGUUGGCCAGGCUGGUCUCUAACUCCUUACCUCAGGUGAUCCACCCGCCUCGGCCUCCCAAAGUGCUGGGAUUACAGGCGUGAGCCACCGCACCCGGCCAUGUAUUUUUUACAUUGUUGUAAAAAAUUUUUUUCUGAAAAUGUAAAAAUAGGUUAUAGAGUAAAAGAUACAGAUAUUAGCAUCCUAACCAGUUAUAAAUACAUCAUUUUUAAAAACCGCUACAAAACUUCUAAAAAACAAGUUAAAAAAACACAUAAAAAGUUAGGAUAGUAUUUUAUAGUACAGGCAUAAUCAUAAUGAACAAGUGACAUACUGGAACUAAUACGACAUUAAAAAAACUUAUCUUUGAAUGCCCUCUCUUUACUCACCACAUUAACCAUUUAGAAUCAAGUAAUGAAACUGUUAAAGAAAAUACACACUAGAAAUUAAAAAAAAAAAUCACUUUAGGUUUAAACAAAAACUGAUGAAAUUUUUACCUGGCCCCAGAGUAAUGUUCCCAUUCCUAGGAAUAUUGACCAUAGCCACUGUUCUAUUGAAAGUUCUGAACAACUGAAAGGUUUUCCACCAAACUGCACAAUUAUUAUCUGGAGGAAUAAUCAAGAGUAAAUUUACUUAAAUCUUAAAUUUUAAAAUUCAUAUACUUAAAAAAAUAUCAAAUUUAUGUCCUCUAAAACAAGGUGAACAACCACUAUUCUGAUGAAUUGUAUUAUAUUAGUCACAACUGAAAAUAAGACAACUGAAAUAGACCUUUCCUCUUUCCCCUCCAGUCCACUUUGCCUCUUAGAAAAAAAGACAACUGAAAUAAAGUAAAAUCUCUGCCCAAUAUUUUUGAUGCAUGCGUAUUUCAUGUUUAAAUUACGCUUACUAAAAAGUAAAAUUCUUAUGACCAAGAAUAAUAAUUUUAUACUGUUUCCAAUAUAACCCCAAGCAACUACAUUCCCCUGUAUUUAGUACAACUCUUCAAAUAAUCUGUGCCUUUCUCAAAAUAUAGUACUCUUUUGUAGAAAAGACUGUAUGUUACUGGAAAAAUGCACAAUAUUAAAAAAAUUCCACAUAGCUGUUUAUUUCUAGUUAACAUUUAGACAUACUAAGAUAAACACAGACUAUAUGAGAAGAAAGGCAACUUGGAAAGUUCUAUGAAAUAUGGGCUAACUCAGGUGAGGUGAUCUCAGAUUUGCUCUCCUUUAUGAAAAGAGUGAGGUCUGAUGAUGAAUAUAAAUUCAUAAUACAGUGCUUAUGUUUUGCUUGUUAUUCUAAAAGGCCUAAAAUAGUGUGCAUGGAAAUAUUAAGAAUUAACUGGGGUUGGGUGUGGUGACUCAUACCUGUAAUUCUAGCACUUUUGGAGGCUGAGGUGAGAGGACUGCUUGAGCCCAGGAGUUCAAGACCAGCCUAGGCAACAUAGCAAGACCCUGUCUUAAUUAAAAAAUAAAUAAUUUUUUAAAAAAAGAAUCAAUUAACAAUAUUCACCCUCCUGUGAGUCUGACAGGCCUCUCUUUGAUAUGGCAGUUAACUAGUUCCCAAAUAUUAAAAUCAAAAAUAAUUUUGGUAGUUAACAUUUUAAAACCUUAAAGUUACAAUUCCUUUCUUUUUAGCUCUACUUUAUUCAAAUUCAAGUCAUUUUCACUUCUCGGUUCCACUAUUUUUUAAGUUAAUUUGUGCACUUGUACAGAUAGAUUUCCAACUGCUUUGUUAGUAGCCCAAUUAGAUUACAACUGAUUUGACAAUCAGGUCUGGAUUUUAGUAGAGAUAUAAAACUGAAGUAAUUUUCUUUUAUAAAUCAAGAAAAUAAUGAGCAUGAAGAAUUCAAUAUGUAUUUGUACAAGUGAUCUUAAUUUUUUUUAAAAUUUAAACCUGAUCUUUUUUUUGGUAUAAUGUGGGAUGUAAAAAGAAUACUAAAAUGCUGGGAAACAAUUAAUUGAUUGGCUGACUUUGUUUCCUAAGAAAUAAUAUCUUUCACUUUACAGUUGGAAGAAAUAAAACUGUUUGUCUAGUUGGUUGUGGCAUUUACUUCUAAGAACAGGAGAUUCAGUUCCCAUAUUCUUUAACAUAUACCUUAAAUCACCAUGAUAUUAUAUAUGUCACCAAGGCAACAGUUCCACACAUGUUCCACACAAGUGAUUGCUAGAACAAGCUGUUUACCUAAUGUCUCCCAUUUAACAGGCAAAUUUGAAACUAUCUUUUCCAAUUACCCACCUGUACCACAAAAGUGCCUAAAACAAUUGUGCAGAAGAUGGCAUUGUUAAAGAUUCCUUCGAAUACAUUUCUUUCACCAUGAAUUUUCCGGG
rnacentral:lncRNA from 1 species